CCUUCUCUUCUCCCUCGUGCCGCCGCGGCGCCGCCUGCCCAUCCCUCUCCGAGUUGACCGCAGCGUCGGGGCCAUCGCUUCUUCGCCCUCGUACGUGGGCAAGCCUAGCGAAGCCUCUCGCUCUCUCGUUCACCUCUCUCCGGGCGGCGGCAGCGGCGGGGAUCGUACGACGACGACCCCAAUUCUCAGCAAACGAGACAUACCAUUCUUGAUAAUGUAGAGACAAUAGUCAAGAGAGACAACAAGUAAGCUGAAGCCACAUUGAAAGAAGAUUCCAGACGUCCUGCCGCGGAUCAAUGUUUGCCACACGCAGAUUCCAGACGUCCUGCCGCGGAUCAAAGGGCACUGGCCUGCUUGCGCUCGCAAGAUUGAAGAGGAGAGGACGCUAGCCUGCUGCCGCGUGCAGGAGUCCGAGGAGAGGGCGGCGGCCUGCCACCGCGCGCAGGACUCCAGAGGAGAGGGCGCCGGGCUGCUACGCCGUGCAGUUUUCGGCGUGAGGGGGAAGGAGCGUGGGAGAGCGAGAGUUGAUGCAGGCUUCAAACUUUUCUCUAAAACCAUUGAAUUUAGUCAUGGUUGAUUUUGAGACGUUGAUUAUGUUGAAGAUAAAAUUCUGUGUGUGUUUUCCUAGGUACACAAUGUUCCUACCUCCUCUCACUCCCUCCCUCCCCCCUCCUACGCCCUGCAUCACACGGAUCUGCUAUGAGAGCUGUAGGAACAGGAGCGUCCAAGGGUGGCGGCUGCAGGCUCCCCAUGAGGACCUUCGGACCACCUAGGGUUCUUACACAUGAGGAUAACAAAAAGGGCGAGAUCGAGAAGGAUGACGCUUUCUAGAAUCAAGACGCCCUCAAGGAUGGAGCAGACACAAUCAGGCUCUGUUGCAGUUAGCAUUGUGAGACCAUGUCUGAGAUUGAGAGGCGACGUCUAGAUUCUGUGAGGCCAUGAAGGCUGUGCCCUGUGCAACCUCGUGCAGUAUUAUGAUAGGAUGGUGGGCUCCUUGCUUUUGGGACCCAUUUCAGGAUACUUUGGUUAACAAUGCUUGGUGCAUCAGUUUUCUGACUUUCUAUGCAUAAGAAAAUGAUUGGUGGCAGUAACUUCUUGAGAAAAGCACCUGCUCCUAAAAUGUUAACCUCUCUAUGUGAUGGGUUGUUUUUGGUUAUCAUUUCAUAUAAUGAAUGGCCUUAGAAUGACAAUGCCCCCUCAUUAGGAAGUGAAUACAGUUAAGGAAGUCAACAUAUUAUUUAAGUUGUUAGGGAUAUUGGUGCUUGAAAAAUGGUGACAGUGUGUGUUAUGCUGAUUGCUACAUAUAGGCCUUGUAUAAUUGAUAAUUCUAUCAUUUGAAAUUUUGAAGUGUACCAUAAGGUAAAUGAUAAUUCUAGUGAAAUCAUUUUAGUUGCGGGUUGGAUUUUGAUAUGAAUGUAAAAAUGGUGCUGGUGCUUACUAACCAACUCUUGUCGUAAAUACAGAACUUUUUUUGUCAUCCAACCAUUAUAUGAAUUAAGCAUCCAACUCCUGCGAUAGAUACACAUUUUUAUAUCUAUCUAAGUUCUUAUUAUCUAUUAUAUGAAUUCUCUCAAAUGUGUAUUAUUAUUUCUCAAAAUUUUCACUAUAAUUCCUCCUU